GACGAACGCUGGCGGCGUGCCUAAUACAUGCAAGUAGAACGCUGAAGGAGGAGCUUGCUUCUCUGGAUGAGUUGCGAACGGGUGAGUAACGCGUAGGUAACCUGCCUGGUAGCGGGGGAUAACUAUUGGAAACGAUAGCUAAUACCGCAUAAUAGUAGAUGUUGCAUGACAUUUGCUUAAAAGGUGCAAUUGCAUCACUACCAGAUGGACCUGCGUUGUAUUAGCUAGUUGGUGGGGUAACGGCUCACCAAGGCGACGAUACAUAGCCGACCUGAGAGGGUGAUCGGCCACACUGGGACUGAGACACGGCCCAGACUCCUACGGGAGGCAGCAGUAGGGAAUCUUCGGCAAUGGACGGAAGUCUGACCGAGCAACGCCGCGUGAGUGAAGAAGGGUUUCGGAUCGGAAAGCUCUGUUGUAAGAGAAGAACGAGUGUGAGAGUGGAAAGUUCACACUGUGACGGUAGCUUACCAGAAAGGGACGGCUAACUACGUG
rnacentral:rRNA from 1 species